rnacentral:tRNA from 1 species
GGGCCGGUCGUUCAGAUGGUUAGGACGCUGCCCUCACACGGCAGAGGUCGCCGGUUCGAGAAAAUCUUCGAAAAUCCGGCCCGGCCCA